rnacentral:rRNA from 1 species
AUUGAACUCUGGCGGCAGGCCUCACACAUGCAAGUCGAACGAGUGGCGGACGGAUGAGUAAUGUCUGGGAAACUGCCUGAUGGAGGGGGAUAACUACUGGACACGGUAGCUAAUACCGAAUACCCUCGGAUGUGCCCAGAUGGGAUUAGCUAGUAGGUGGGGUAAAGGCUCACCUAGGCGACGAUCCCUAGCUGGUCUGAUAGGAUGACCAGCCACCCGGGAACUUAUACACGGGCCAGACUCCUACGGUAGGCAGCAGUGGGGAAUAUGGCACAAGUGGCGCAAGCCUGAUGCAGCCAUGCCGAGUGUAUGAAGAAGGCCUUCGGGUUGUAAAGUACUUUCAGCGGGGAGGCGUUACCCGCAGAAGAAGCACCGGCUAACUCCGUGCCAGCAGCCGCGGUAAUAC